rnacentral:lncRNA from 1 species
UUUUUUUUUGUGUGUUUGUUUUAUGUGCAUCGAGUUACCCUGAAAGGCUACACAACAUUCGCGAGAUUCAACAAGGACAUGGACCCUCGAGCUAGUUUGACACUCUAUUCUAUGGAAGUUCGGUAACCUCAUAUCUUUUUCGGGAACACAUUGGGGAUAAUGUGUGGUCUAGGUGUAGGGGGAUGCACAUAGUUUUAUGCAUUUUAUUUGUUUUUGCUUUUAUGUUAUUUUGUGUGUUUAUUUUUAUUUUUUUGCCUUUUUCAAAAAUACAAAAAAUAUUUUUCAUUUUUAUUUAGUGCCAUUGCAUGGUGCUUGGACUACAAUUAGGUAAUAAGUCAUUAGUUGUAAAUAAUGAAUAAGUACAUAAAAUUACUGAACUUAUAAAUUUCGAAUGAUACUAGAUAAUUUUCUAUUCUUAAUUGUAGACUAAUCAGUUCAAUUAGUUAAUGUGUAUAAUAGGGUAGAGACAAUAACCUAAAUGAAAAUGUAUAAAGUGUACCAUAGGAUAAAUAAAGUAUACGAACCCUUGUAGAUAAAUAUUUUGAAUUGUUAAUUGUUCGUUUAAAUAAAUGUAUGCUUGAAAGAAUUGGUGUUAUGUGAGUGAUUCAGGAAAGACCUUAGGCAUUGUUUGAAAUAACCUAGAGCCUAAAAGAUUACCUGUUACUAUAUACCACUAGUUCCCAUAUCUUUGAGCCUCGAGUAACCUUUUCUUGUAAGCCCUAAAAUCAAAGCCUCAAGCCUAAAUGAGUCUAGUACUUGAUCCUUCUUGGUCUCGUUCUUUAAAAUACACUAUGUAAUGGAUGUUGGGCCAUGAACAUUGAGGACUAGGUAGAAACAUUACGGUGCCUUUGUGUGUGAAGAAAAAAAAAGAAAAUAAAGGGAUUACAUGAGUUAGUACGUACUAAUCUCACAUAAUACCUUGUAACAUUUUGGAGAAAUAAGGUAGGCGAGAGAAAGAGAAAUAAUGAGGUGAGCUUGUAAAUAAUUUAGGGACGAGUAUGGAACAAUGGCAUGUGUUUAACAAUUCUAGUGCUUGAACCCGUAUUAGGUAUCUAUUUUUUGAAUUCCAAACCGUCCUAAGCCUCAGAAUGCUAGAAGCCUAAAAGACUUUUGGGACCCAAAUAAGUCACCAACACAAUAAUUCGUAAAUAGCUUGCAUUUAUUUCAAUGAACAUGACCAAUUCUUUUUAAAUAUUUAUGAGCGAUCCCAAUAAUUUAUUUUGAUGCAUAACAAUUGUACAUACAUUCAUUUCCAUUGCCUCUAUAUCUAUUAACAUUUUAACUUAGUGACUUGAUUAUGUUUGCAUUAGGAAUAAACAAGUUAGCUAGAUAUCACUCUUAAGUUGCAUGUGAAGUAGUUUUUAUAUGAGUUUGAUGUUUUACCGCUAUGUGACUUAAUUGUUUGAUUUAGUCCAAGAGUUGUCUUUCCUUUUGCAUGUUUGGUGUGUUUGCUUGAGGACAAGCAAAGAGUUAAGUGUGAGGGAGUUUGAUUUUCCAUAAUUUGAUAUGACAAAUUAGGCUUUCGUGGUAUACUUAAGGAUCUUAUCCUCGAGAAAAGUAGCAUCUUUUGCAUAGUUUUUCAUAAUUUUUAGAUUUUAAGUUAUAAGUGAAAAUGUCUCUUUUUGCUAAUUUUGUGACCUAAUUUGGCCAAUUGUUCCAUUGGGGGUCCAACAUGUGGAUGACCGGUGUAGGGACAUGUUGGAGGUUGAAAACGAGAGAGAAUGGCACCAAAGGAAAAUGUAUCAUAAUAUCCACACAUUGGGAUCUCGAUACCUCUAACAAUAUGGAAGAUUGGAGACCACCUUUCAGUGGUAUCGCAAUAUCCACCCUUCCAAGAAGACCCUAAGUCUCGAAACUACCCGAGAUAUUAUAAUACCCUCUUUUGGAUAUUGCGACACUGGCAUCGUGAAGGGAUAAAAUUUGACAGAAAUGAUAGUUUUUGUCCACUCAAUCCACCAAUCACUCAAGGCCUAUGUAGGGGCAAUUUUGGAAAUAAAAUUCCAUUAGAUUGUAGCCUAAAAUAGCCAAAUUUGGCUAAUGAGGAGAGACACACACAUUAGUUUAGUUUUAGCCCUAGUUUUCUCUAGGUUUUUCUUAGUUUUUAUGCACUUUUUCUAAGGUUUAUAUUUUCUCUUCUUCCUUCUUAGUUUUAGAGUUUAUUUUUCUAAAAUUACUUCUUUGUUGUUGAUGUUCUUAGUGUUAGUUAAGUUAGUUAUCACUGUAGCUUAGGUUUAUUUACACUUUCUAUCCCUGUACCUUGGUUGUAAGACAUCUUUAGCUUUAGUUUAAUGUAUUUCAAUUUCUUUUACUUUCAAUCAAUUAAAGCUUGUUCCUUGUAUGUUUAUUGCUUUAUAUUUUCUUGUUAAAUGCUUUUAGUUUCAUGUUCUUGAAGAUUUCUUUAAUAAAAAUCUAAACUUCUAUAUUUUUAACUUUAAUGGUUUAUUUACUUUUCAUUUUCAUGUUCAUUCUCUUUAUUUUUAGCAUGAAUAGCUAAAUCUAAAAGGGGGUUGGCUGAUGGAGAUGUGGGUAAGCUGAUUUCUAGAUAAAGGACUAAGUUGUAAUAAAUUUAACUAAAUCGAAAACACCUAAAAACUUAGAAAGUGACCCCCCUAAGGGAACAUCUAGGCAAGUUAGGCUGAGAGGUAAUCUUGUUAUGCACCCGUUCAUUAGUCCCAGAUUAAUCAGUGAGAUCGAAAGGUAAAUGAAUUAAUUCGUCUAAGUUAGUAAAAUUGAGAUCAAAAGAUCAAAUAGAGCCACUUAGUAAUUUAAGUCCCUAGUUCGAGGACCAGUGAACCAUACCAAAAUCAACCAACCACCGUUAUUCAUUUAUUUGGUUAAUUUCUUUGUUUUAUACUCUUUGCAAUUUAGUCCCUAGAUUAACAUAUUUCAUUUUCUUGCAAAAUUUCUUUGUUAUGAUUUAGCUUACUAUAAAAUCGUAUUAGUAGUCAAUCUCUUUUAUCGCACAAUAUACUCUAUCGUGUAUGCUAUUUAUCGCUCAAUCGCCAUCUCUUUUGGAUUCAAUCCUUUGAAAACUCCGGUGUCCCAUUGUAACACUACAAAUUUUACAAUUGACCUAUACAUUUGUAGUAAAGCCACGCUUAUAAACUCAUUUUAUAAAAUCAUUUGUUUUAUGCACACAUGCGAAUGAGGUCACUUGCUUUGAUACAAAUUUUGCACUAUUAAAAUCGAGCGAUUUGAUGGAUGAAAAUUGGGAUCUAUUUUGACGAUUAGGCAUAACAAAAUUUAAUAAUGACCGUUUCAAAAAAAAAGCAUACAAUGUAUCAAGACAAAUGAUGGGAAACUUGAACUCUUUGUUAAUGCUGAAGGAGAAUACCUUUUUUUCUAUGCUUCUUGCUUACUUGAGAGACCCCAAAGUAGAAGGAAGAGGAACUUGCCAAUAUAAGGAGAGAACAAACAAAAUCUACACAAUAAAGUAAACUAGUGAGUUAAAUGUAGCAAACAAUUAAUAGAAAAGUGUAAAAGGAGUGAGGGAAGAAGAAUGGAGAAAAUUUUAGGGAUUUUUAGAGUAUUCUUGAGUAUUUAGGGGUUAAAAUAGGGCUAAACACGUGGUUCAUGAUGUCAAAAAUGAGUAUUUUUCUCGACCUGACUCAAAUAUUAUGAUACUCAAGAGUGGAUAUCGCGAUAUCCCCUAUUUUUGGACCUUCAACCAUUUCAGUACUACUCGAGGUAUUGUGAUUUCAAAAGUCCAAUAUCACGAUACUACUGUGGAUGAACCAAAUUUUUUAUUUUUGAAAUUUCACGGAUAUCACGAUAUCAAGGGUCUGAUAUCCAGAUACCUAAAAAUUUUUGGUCCCUCAAUUGAAUCUGUUGAAGAAAUCACGAUAUCCCUCACUUGGUAUUACGAUUUCACUGUGGCACACCCCCAAGAAAUCCCAAAAUUAUCUCAAAACUUCCUCGAAUUCUACAAUUAUCCUCAAGGUUCAAAAAAUUAAUCGGGCAACUAGUUACAUUCAAAAUAAACAAAAGAAAUAAUAGCAAAUUGAAAUUCAAAUUACUCAACUACAUAUUUGCACAAUGUUAGAUUAAAAAUCCACAAUAAAAAUCUAUAAGAUAGUGCUAAACCUCAGUGAGAGCUUGAAGCAUCUUGUAACACCCUUUAGCUUGUCAGGAAGACCUGGCAUAAAUUGAACAGCUAAAUCAACCGCCUGACAGACCGGGGCAUUACUAACAAAUUCAAAUCCUUUGACUUGCUUUUAAACUUUGAGAAAGCAGUUAUAAGGAUUCCCCUUUUACGUUUAAAUCAUUAUUCUUUGCUCAAUUUUUAUUUCAUCUUUAAGGAGAGUAAUAGGAAUUAAUAAUCUACCCAUCAAUCAAGCUCCGCCAUUAAUAAUGAAUACACUUAGGAAAAGAUAGUUUUGGAAACUACAAAUCAAGGGAGUUUGGCGAUCACAAUUAUAGCCAAGGAAAAUUACAUUUUAUAAGACAAAACAAUACAUUUGCGAAGUAAAAGAAAAAGUUAAAAACAAAACGUAUGUAUACGCCUUUUGUCGAACAUCCAUACAUGAUACAAAAUAGUCAAGUGGCUCAUUUGCAAACGCAGCUCUGACUUAGUCCCCUUCUAUUAAUUCUUCUUCUACUAAUCAAUGUCCUAAAAAGGAAAAGUAAUGGAGUAAGUUCAUUUAAACUUAGUGAGAUCCCAAAAGACACAACAUGUUUAUCAGAUUAUCCCUGAUCGACUCAAUGAUAAAGACAUUUUUUGAGACUAUGCCCUACAGUAACAUUACGCCAAAUCUGCCAGUACAGUUUACUGGCGCACACAUCACAAUUAUAUCACAUAGAAUCCUUAGUGGGCACAUACCAAUAAUUCAUGCACACUUCUCUCAAUCAUGUAUGUUUACCUGUGACUCAACCUUGUGCCAACCUCAUACCCAUGCUUCAGAAAUCAGAAUCGCAUAUUAUUCAUAAUCAUAUAUCAUUAUUUAUACUCUUUGUCAAAUGAACACAUGUUCUCUCACAAGGUUGGGUCUUGAACUACCAGUUUGGUUUGGAAUAAAGCUGCCCUACCGGAGGCAUCACAAAUAAAGCUUCUUUCCACAUUUUCAAAUAUUGCAAGUAGUAUGGUACUGGGCUCACACACAAGGUGGGUAUUAACCGUGACCAUGGCCAUGUACACACACAAUACUAACUCGUUAAUACACAGCACAUCGACAUAUAUUUAGCAUCGACAACUUACCUUAUACGACUCCAUAUCAUAGAGUUUUAAAACCCAAAGGAAGCAUAAAAGAACUCACCAAAACCUUCAAGAUAGAAUCUACUUUAUUGGUCCUUUGCCUCGACCACUCAGACCUUAUCUAGCUUCUUGAGCUAAAUAAGAAACAAUCAUAAUUAUCAAACCAUUUAUCUACUAUAUAUUGAUCAUGCAUGUACUAAUGCAAAGACGUAAAUUCCCUCGACAUAAACCUAAGGUUUUUUAGAAAUCACCAGUCAGUUAGCACUUAUCAAUGGCAUUUUGACAAGCUCCUGGAAAUCUUCCUCGUCUCAUCUAUAGAAGAUAACUUAAAAAGAAAUUUCUUAAGGACGUUGGAGAGAACACAGAGAGAAAGUAAAAGUGAAACAUGUUAGCUAUAGCCACCCUUUUUAUAGCAUAGACAAUGAAAAUAAGCUUAGUGGAAAGGUCAAAAACCCCAAUAUUGUCCUUGAAUUCAAAGACUAAGCUUUCAUAAUAAGGUUUAAAAUCUAAUCUUUUACCAAACACAGAUACUACCACUAGUUAGGGUGGUAAAACAUUGCUUGUAAACUAAAGAGACCAACUAAACAGGUCAUUCAAUUACCUAAACAUAUCAAAUUGUCAUCUAGAAUGCUCUAGUUCAAUUCCAACUAGGUAUCAACUGAACUUUAACGAUGCUCACCGAGCUAUCUUUUCCACAUAAAACAACUCUAUCGCACCGCAAAUUAACAAGUUCACCCAGAACAUCUAGGGUUGGCAGAUUGUGUCAUAAAAGAGUCCACCAAUCCCUAGAGUUCGCCAACCUUAGAGUUUGCCAAAUGGUGAAUUCCAGCAAGGUGCCUCUCACAAGGGCGUACUGAUAAAUUCACGCAACACGUCAUCCCAACACUUUAACAAAAAAUUCAACCCAUUACUACUCUGGCUUACUCAAUUAUACGCCAACAUAUCGAUAUGAUCUACGUCGGACGAGCUAUUACACAUCUCUUUAGGGUCCUCAUUUUCAACUGUUGGUUCGUCUCAUUUUCAACUGUUGGUUCGUCCAUGUUGUCAAUGUCAGAUUCAUGCGCAAGGUAGUGAACUUCUUUAAAUGUAUUCGGCAUCCUUCCAAAAUAUAAUUUCAAUCGGUGCCCGUUCACCAAGAAUGAUUGACCAUCCUGAGUUAUUAAUUUAAUAGCUCUGUUAAUUAACACUCGAUUGACUGUGUAUGGUCUUGACCAUCGUGAUUUCAGUUUACCAGGAAACAAUUUCAAACGGGAAUCGAAUAGCAAAACUUGUUAACCCGGUACGAAGCUAUUGCGUCUAAUCAUAGCGUCAUGGCGGAGUUUGCUUUUUUCUUUUUACAACUUACAACUUCGCAUUUUCAUAUGCCAAAAAUCAAAACUCCUCUAACUCAUGCAAUUGAAAAAAAACAAGCUUCAUUUGCCAAGUCCAGAUCCAGAUUCAAUUCUUUGAUAGCCCACUACACUCCUUUUUUCAACUCAAUAGGUAUCAACCUACAAACGUGUUAUCACUUAUAAUAAAAAUAGCAGACCAAAAAUGUAAGAAAUUAAAUCAGUGGUGUCUGCAAGUAGGGGUGAGUGUUCGAUCGAAUCAAUCGAAUGAAAAAAUUUCGAGUCAAUUGAGUUGACAAAUCCUAUUUUAUCAUCCUAACGUGCUUUGAAAUUUUCUUAAAUCGAGUCGAGUGAGAUGGAAUUCGAAUCGAAUCGAAUAUAUCUUUUCGAGUUAAAUUUAAAAAAAAUGACUUUGGGACCUUGUAGCCACUAUCACCCAUCAUAAUCAAAUUUGUUAUUAACUUUCAUCCCCUCAUAAUUUAUUUAUUAAUCUUUUAUAUACAAGUUAGCUUCUUUGUUUUCUUAAUUGCUUCAAUUAUCUUCUCAUUCUUGUCACUAUAUAUUUUGAAAUUAAAAAAUAUAUUAAAUGAAAAAAUAUGAUUUUUUAAUAAAAAUUAUCUUAAAGAUAAAAUGUGAAAUUGAUACCAACAUAAAAUUUUAAUACGAAUAUUUUAUGGCAUCAUCAAUAAUUCAAUUUUCACAUAAAUUUAUAAAGAUUUAAUAUGAUUAAACAAUUCAAUAAUAUAAAUAGUACAAAAUGUGAAAUUUAAUUUAAUAAUAUAAAUAGUAGAUAUAAAUAAAAUUAUUACUAUUUAGGUUCAAGGAUUUUUUUUGGAUAAUUUUUUAUUUGGAGGUAAAUGGUGAUAAGUAAAAGUUUAGGGGGGGAAAUAAAAAGUUUUGAGGGUUGGGGGAGUAAAAUUUUGGGAGGAAAGUAAAUGGGGGGUAAAUUUUUGGGGGGAAAAUAUUAAAAAAAAUUGGGGGGGGGGGGGUAAUGGGUUUGGGAUAGAGAGGGUGGGAUGAGAGUAAAAGUUUUGGGGUGAAAGUAAAAAGGUUUGGGGGUUUGGGGUAAAAAUGUAAAAUAUUAUACUUUUGUAUUCGGUUUAUUCGAAUUAUUUGAGUUACUAGAAUUCAAAAACUAAACUCGAUUUGAUACUAAAAUUUGAAAAAAAAAUCAAGUUGACUCAAAUAACUUGAUUCGUUUAACUCAAAAUUCAAAAAAAAAUUGAUUUUUUCAAGUCGAAUCGAGUUUUGCUCACCCCUAUCCGCAAGCGUACAGGUCAAAAUGUAAUAUAGUAAAGUUUACAACGAAACACUAGUAAGUAUUUCGAGGAUCGUACCCAAGGGAUUGCAAAUUGGAGAAAUUAUAAUUAAAUUAAUUGCAAAAAAUAAUUACUAAUUUAAUCGAGUCACAAAUUAGUAGUGUGAAUCAAAAUUAAUAUUUUAAUUAAACUAAUUAAAUUAACUAACUUAAAUUACCCUAAUAGACUUUCCUAUUCCUAGUGUUGACAAUGCAAGUCUCUAGCAUAUGAUCGAUUAAAACCCUAAUUAUCUAAUUAAAUAAUUAAUUAUCCUAGAUUGAGUUAUUUAUCACCCUUAGCAAGAAUACCCUUCUAGUCUCAUUUACACUAAGGAUUACCACUUAAGUCACUAACCGUGUUCACACUUGCGAAUAAAACAAAUGAUUUUAUAAAACAAUUUUAAAGCGCGGUUUUAAGUGCAAGUGUAUAGUGCCAGUUGUAAUAUUUGUAGUUCCGAUGGAACACAGAGUGUUCCAAGGGGUCGAACCCAAAGGAUUGUCAAGUGGGUAUGUAUCGCCCCAAAAUUUUAAUUUUGGGUAUUGUGAAUAUGUGACACAAAAUAUUUGUCUGCUUUAAUGGUUAUGUGUUCUGGGUGUGUUUAGGAGGUCUCAAGUUCAAGCUAGAACUUGGGCAAAUUUUGGUAUUUUUUUUGAAUAAGCCCUAUCUUUGGUCAGUAGGCUUUUAAGUAAAAGUUGGCAAAUAAUUAACAGAAUGGGCAUGCUGGUUUGGUGGAUAAGUGGACUGUUGGUGUGAAGGAGGUUCUGUGUUCGAAUCUUGGUGUGGGCAUUAUUUUUGCUCGUAUGUCCAGGAGAGUUUGAGAUGUACUAAAAAUCUGAGUAGUGGAUUUAGUAGGGAGACUGAUGGAGAGAAAUAAGGGAUUGGGGUGGUUAUCAAAUAUUUUGUUCAUCUUUUUUUUUUCCUUUUUUUUACUUUCCCCAAAAUCCCUCCACCCUUUUGCCAUUUUUCUCUUCAUUGCUGCCGAAUUUCUGCUCUCUUUCACCCUUCAUCUUCUUGAUUUUUCUUUUCCCACUUUGCCUCGUGUCGUUCCACAUUUGUCUACGAUCAUUCGGUAAGUUUUAGAUAAGUGAUUUGUCUCUGUUUGUUAACUUCUUCUGAAGUGUUAUGUUUAUUCCAAUUAGGGGAGGAUUCAAGGGCUCGUAAUCACCAAUCGAAGUCUUAGUUUGUGUGGGAAUUAAUGUUCAUCGGUUGAAGGUAAGGUUUAGUCGCUUAUGGGUUAAAACAUCGAUACAAGUUCGAUUUGGGAUCACAUUAUGUAAGAUUAAAUUAGUGUUAUUUGUUCAAUUAUAGACUUUUGAGUGCUCGAAGACUGUUUUAGCAUCAAACAAAACCAGGUGUGUACCCAAAACGUAGAAAAUGGGAUUCAGCGAAAAGCCGAAAUUGCUUGCUAUUUGAACAGCAGCAGUACGCUAACUUUGAAAAAUCACCAUACAUUGUUAAAAUCAAAUUAGAGGAUGAAAAAAAUAUGAAAUUAAAUCUUAUUGAGUUUAGUUUCUCAUAGAAGAAAUGGUGUAAGUAAUGGAAUUGUAAAUCGUGAGAUAUAAUAAAUUUUGUGAGACAAUAUCAGAAUGAAUUCGGGUUCCCCUAUUCUGAUUUUAGAAAAUCAUCAAAAAUUGGAGAAAAAUAAUUAGGGGUUAAAAUUUACAUGUUUAAAUUUAAAUUAUUAACUAGUCUAUUUUCAAUAAAAACAACUGGAAACAUCAUCCAAAUUUUUUACUAAGAGAUAAUUAAUUUUUAGCAAAGAAAGGUCAAAACUGUCAGACAGUAGAACAAGGGUAAGAUUGAAGAUUUUAUUGUACUUAUUGGAUGAACCAAAAAUUCUGAAAAUAUUAUGGUAGAAAGAUAUUUUAGUCUAGUUUCAAACACAGCAAGCGGAUCUUAAUUUGGAAUUCUGUAGCUCAAGAUAUAAAUAAUUUAGUAACAGUGACUCAAGUUGACAGCUUUGAAGGAACAUAUAAGUAAAUGGUGAAAACAUAUAUGAAUAUUUAGCUAGCACAGGUUACAUUAAAUGGACCAAGUGGCCAAGGCCAAUUUGGGCCGAGUGGGCCACAUGGGUGUGUGGGCCCACACGGACAAACCACAUGGGCGUGUGAGCCUAUUUUCACUGAAUUGAUUGCUACCCAAGUCGACUAUGAACCUACUGUAGGGUCGGUAAGCAUCACUUAGACCCCUAAUUGUACGAACUGACUAUUUGAUUUAUAUAUGUGUUCAGCAUGAUGAUAGUAUGCUUGUAUACUGAACUGGUUAUAUGUAUUGAUGUCCUAAGAUAGCUUGUCAUGACUUGUAUGUUGCAUUACAUGGGGUUGGGUUAAUUAUAUUUAGAGGAAGUGUACUGAAAGGCUCUUAAGCCUAACAUACUGGCAGCUCAGGUGCAAAUUACUGUUUUGUGCCGCAUUUGAUACUAUCUGGAGUGUAGGGAUGGGUGGGUUGAUUUGAUCCCCACAUGGAGUGUAGGGUUGGACGGAGAUGGUGUGUAGAGGCUGGUUGGGUAGGACUUUGUUACUAAAUACUGCAUGACUGCUACUGAUACUGUGAUAUGCUAAGGCCCUACUGCAUAUUUGGUACUGUACUGAGAUGGGCUAAGGCCCAAACUGUUACUGAUACUGAAAAAAGGCUUAGGCCCAAGAUUGUUUUAUCUGUGCACUAUGAUUUGCUAUUGUUUUUUUUUUCUGUGGGAUUACACACUGAGUUUUCGUAAACUCACCCCUUUUGUUUAAAUGUGCACAGGUAAUCCCCAGAUCUAGACGGAUCAGUGCGGUGGAGGACUCGGCGAUGACCACGAUUUUGGCCUUUCAUGGUUUUUAACACAUAUUUUCGAUAAUUGGUUUUAUUUCUAUUCCAAUUUUACUGGCUAAGUUUUUGGGUUGUAAUUGAACUUUCGUACUUUGGUUUUGGGUUUUAAUUUUCUUUACCUUAUGGAUUACAACUGCUAAUAGUAGGAAACCUCAAUUUUUAAAGGAACAAAUGUUUUUCCUAAACGCCCGAUUGUUUAAUCUGUUUUAAAAGCUUUCGCAAGGGAAUAACGUUUUGAAACUAUCGAUUAAAUGAGCAACACAAUUUUGGAACUAAUAAGAUAUUAAGAUAAGGAAUUCAAUGGAAAUGGUUUUAAUGCGAUGACACGGUUUACAAACACCCUAUCAUGUGACAUCGCUAGAUCCGGCCAUAACGUCUCGGUCGGGUUUGGGGUGUAACAGGGUAAAUGCUUAUCAACUUAAUUACAAAUUAAGAAAUUACUAUUCUAAUCAAGUUGGAUAUUUUUAGUGCAACUCCAAAUAAAAUGAUUUAUAAACUAAAAUCAAACUAUUAACUAAACUAACUAAGCUAAACUUUCUUCCUAAUGUUUUAGAUACUGUAAAUGAUUAAAUGAUGGUCAAUUGAUUAGUUGAGUGCUAAUUAAACUAAUAAACCUACAUCGAUUACAUUGGUUGCCACUCUUAGUUAGGAAUCUCCUCUUGGUCUUAUCCUAGACUGAAAGAUACCACCUAAGAUUACCUCUCGGUCUCACUACUCGGCACGAUUAUUUCGAACUAUCUAAGGAUAAACUCUCCUCUCUGUCUUGUUUAUCUAGGUUUUCUGCUAGAGGCGUCAAUUUUAACAUAUUAAGUAUUUUGAUAUAAUCGAGCAAUCAAUCAAUCAAGAAUAGACAUUAAAUUAAGCUAACAAACAACCAAAUCCAACCAUCCAACAAUUAGCACAUGAUAAAGCUUAACAUCUAAACAAACAUUUCAUCGAACAAUUAAUAAGCACAAUAUAGAGAUAAGGAUAAGAUAUGUUCAUUUAGAUAUGUAACAAAUGGCACCCAAAAGCUUCAUCCAUCUUCAUUUACAAAGUCCUUUACAAGAAAGAAGAAAGAAAACUACAAGAAUAAAAUCUACUCUAAAAAAAAACAGAAAACCUAAACUAAAAAAUGAUUAAAAAAAACCUAACCUAAAAACUAUAAACCCUAAAGAAACUAUAUAGCCACCAAAAAUAUAAAUUUAAAGGCUUAUAAAUUUGUAUUUAUAGCCUACUAAAAUUUGACCUAACAAUGACCAUUUUGCCCUUCAGUUAAAAGAAGACAUAAGCUUAUUUGGACACAAAAUUGCCCUUACAACUUUUUCACUUGUUAGGUAGUGAUAUCACGGUACCGAGGCUUAGGUGUUGUGAUACCCAAAACAGUCUUGAGAUUGAGAGUCUUGGGGGUCUUAGUAUCGUGAUACCGAUGGUCUUAUAUCGUGAUACCACUAUACAUGGCCUCUAUUCAUCUAAUUUUAGCACUGUCAAAGGUAUUACGACUUUCAUGCUUCAAUAUCGUGAAACACCAUUCUAAGUGAUUUUUUCUUCAUGUUCAGGCCACUGUCGACUCCCUACAACACUCAAUCAACUUGUUAAGUUCCCCAUGGCACGAUUGGUCAAUUUGGAUCUCAAAAAUGGCUUAAAACUAAUAAAAAAUUUAUUAACAAAACUAAAAAUCGACAAAAACAUAUAAAAGACACUUAAAUUGCUUGAAAAUAAGCUCCUUAAGUGCAAUGGAGAGCCUAAUUUGACAUAUCAAAUUCUGGAAAAUCAGUCACCCUUUCGAUCUCUUCCUAGGCAUACAAAUACCCUCCCGGUCUCACCGCUUGGUACAAGUUAUGCAUGACAGGAUACCUUUUUAGUUUCACCUAUCUAGAUAUUCUAUUAGGGUCGUCAGUCCCUAAUAUACUAAGUACUCUUGAAAAAACAACCAAUUUCAGAUAAAUAAUUACUUAACAGAUAAAUUAGUUUAGUAAUUGAAUCACGCGAGAUAUGAAAUAAGCACAAUAAUUUAUUCAAUUAUUCAUACAAACGCUAAUUGAUAAGGUUGAUAAAAAUAUAAAUAAAAUAACAAGAUAUAUGAGAAAGCUCAUGAAUAUAUAUUGAAGCGCGGUUUCAGAGCAAUCUCUGCUCACAAUUGUCUUCACAUUAGAAUAGAAAAGUUCUAACUAAACAAGCAUGAAAAUAAAAUACAAAGAAAACUAGAUAGGGAAAAUAGUAUAUCUAAAAUUGUACACAAUUCUGGUGACCCUAAGGUUGCUUGUAUAGGGAACGGUCUACUUCGUGAUCACUAAACCCUAGAUACACUUAGAUACCAAUUAAUGCAAAAUUCUAAUAAAUUCAAGGGUCCAAAUAUGGAUGUAACACCUUAUACUCAACCUGGUCGUCAAGCUCAAAUAUCAGGAUGUCACACCACCGUCUCAUAUCAUAUUCACAAUAAAUAGCCACAUUAUUAUGAAAUCAUGCUCUUUAUCAGUUAUCUUAUAAAUUUUUAGUCAAACAUAUAACAACCAUCAUUAAAACAUGUCAAACAUACUUUAAAUAAACUUAUAGUAAUAAUUAAACAAGUCUUAGGGUCACCUAGCAAAAUUUCCAAGACAAUCCCGUAGGUAUCAAUACUAGAACAUUGGUAUCAAUAUUUUCUUGGCAUGGUAUUGAUACCAUUUGCAAAAUUGGUACCAAAUCAGUAUUUUAUUUCUCGUCUAAAAUCAAAGUCUCAAAAAAUAUCGGUACCUUUGCAAAAGUAUCGAUAACAUUACCCCAAGUAUUGAUACUCUUGGUAUCAAUACCAAUUUAUGAUUCUAACUUCCUGCAUAUUUCAAAAUCACAGAGGUAUCGUUUUUACAACAUGAAUAUCAAUAACCCUUCAUAAAAACGAUAUCUCUACUCCAGACCAGAAAAAUACAACAUUUUAAAGAAUAUAAGUGAUUCCAACAUGUAUCAAUUCAUCCUACUAUCAUAUUAUCAUCAAAUAAACAUCAAAACGACCAUAAUAGUAGUCUUAACAUCGAAAAUAAGUCCAAAUGAUAAUCGGCAUAGUAUGACUCAAUUCUCAAAAUCCUAAGAGCAAUUAAGCUAUGGAACUUCCAAAACAACAUUUCAGAUAUCAUUAAAAGUCUACCACAUUGCCUUAUUCUUAAAACGAAAACAAAUAAUGAUAACACCUACGAAAACACGAAAAUAGACUUGCUUAGAUCACCCCUCGGAACCACACCGCUCACACCAGCACUUAACUACUCUACAAGGGUUUAAAAUGAGUGGGUGAGCUUAACAAGCUCAGUGAAUGCCUAGAACUACUAUCAUGCAAACAAUUCAUCAAACAUUAACAAAACAACCAUAUAGCACAACCUCAGUUGUUCCAACUCUAGUGUCAUAUUAUACUCACUCAUGCAUCAUUUACUAGUACAUUUACAUGGUAAUCACAUUCACUUUUAAGCAUAUAUCACAUUACACAUAUAAUAACAUAACAUUUAAGCAUAUAUCAUAAUACACAUAUGAUCACAUAACAUUCAAGCAUGUAUCACAAUACUCAUAUAAUCACAUAACAUUCAAGCAUAUAUCACAAUACUCAUAUAAUCACAUAACAUUCAAGCAUAUAUCACAAUACUCAAAAACAUGUUUAUAGACAAAUUGGCACUUCAGCUAUGAAACAUAAAAGUGAGUUUUAUCAUCACUCAUCGAAUACACGGAUCUCCAACCCACCACAUAGACUUAUAGAGUCAAACAUGUCCUAAAAGUGAAGCAUAAAGCUAACACUCUCCUUAUUUCCCCUCAGAUGUCCCACUGAGUGGAACUUAGCUCAUAUUCCCUUAUCCCUCUAACAUGUCUCAAGGCCUCAACGCCCAAAAUCACUGUACGAAUAGGUGAGUACUCACAAUCCUAUGGCAUGCUAACUAUAUCCAACUAUUUCGAGAUCACAAGGCCAAAAUAUAUGAAAUCAAACACAUAUCACUUACCGAUUAUCUGUGCACUAUCACUGCAUGUUUGCAUCUUUAGCAAAACACUGUCUCUAAUAUUUAACAUAUACAUAACAUGUACACAUUUUCACUUUCACAACGAUUAUCAUAACCACAUAUCACAUGUUAUAGCAUCUCAUCUCAAUUCACAUAUUCACAAACACAUAAGCACAUUAUUCACAAGAUAGCAUAGUUAUGAGAAAGCUUACAUUCAGAAUUUAGAGUAAGGGUUUACGAUACUACCAAAUUCCAAAAUAACGCAUUGAAUCAUGUCCAUAAGAAAUUAUUCCAAACACUCACCAAUUACGCUUUCACUGAAAAAGCCAAAAGCUCAAACUAGCUUUUCCUUGCCUUUAUAUCUACUCGUAGAAAGUCCUAUCGAUUCCAGCGCUACAACUAAGUAAAUCACACAACAACACAAUCAACAUUCAGCCAAAGACUUACAUCAAACAAUUCAAAAACACAAACCUAAACUAGGUUCUCUUUUGAUCGAAACCUUUAACAUAGGAAACUUAAAAUUUGAAUAUCUCGGUCUAUACUUAAUAUUUUUUCCUAAAAUUUAUUUCAUUCAUCUAUUUAUUCACCUACGAUUGAUUCUCAACCUUUAAACUACAUAAAACUACUCAAUUCAUGGUAUUAACUUUUUCGACAUGUUUUUUGCUAUUUUCUAAAAAAUUAUUAAAACAUUGGAAAUUCUUAAUGAAACUUCAAAGUAAAUUUAGAAACCUUCUAAUCAUGUUAAACCAAGUUGAAAAAUAGUUUGAAACCAUAUUUUUACUCAAAACCCUAAAAUCCACCAUUAACAAGCCAAUUUUUGGCUUUUAUUCAAAACAUGCAAUUUAACGGAAAAAAAAACUUAGUUUUAAAGACUAAAUAACAUGUAAAACUAUUUAGGAGUUGAACAGUUACCUUAAAUGGCAAAAAAUCAAGCUUUUGAUCGACAACCUGAAAAACUUAGAAGCUUGGCAAUGGAGGAAUCAAUGGUGAUUUUGGGUGUUUUUCUUGGUAUUUAAUGGAGGUUUAAGGCUUGAAUGUUGAUGGAAAUCAAGAGAUUGUAGUUUAGAAAUCAAAAAUUGAUUGGAAGAGCAAGAGGAAACAAGGGACAGCAUGUAAAAUCUUUGGAGAGAAAACUAUCGUGAAUAUGAAACUAUAAAUGGGGGUUUUUAGGUUGAAUUUAAAAAUUUGGUCUAAUUGCCUCUUAAAAGCUCUAAGUUUUUACUUUUUUACAAAUCAGUCCUAUUUUUAAAAUUAAAGGUAUUUAAAACUCAUUUUCAGAAAUUGAUUUAAUUUUCUAAAAACCAUAGUAAAAAAAUUACCGAUAAACCAUAUUGCAAAAUUUCGAACACUCUGAAGCUAAAAUCCCUAAAAUAGCCCUAAAACUCUUAGACCCUAUUUGGGGUGUUACAAUGGAAAUAUCCCAAAAGUGUCAUCCAAGGAAUCAACUUCAGUUUGGCCCGCCAUCAUCGCGUCGUCAUAACGUGGGAAUGCUCCUCGUCACGAUGUCGCCAUCGUGAAAUCCCUCUUAUAGUUGUCAUGACGAGAGGAAGCUCCUCAUCAUGACGUCAAGUGAAUUUCGAGCCUUGGAAGCUUCAUUGUGCUAUCAGGCUCCCUUGUCUCGAGGCUCGAUCAUCAUCCCUUGUAUUCUUAGACCUGAAUUGGAAUUCUACACACUUAAAUAACUCAUUAGUCACUCACAAGGCCUGUGUCAACCUUACGAGUCACCGAAAUAGAAAAAAAUGUAUAAUAACACUUAUUUUAUUAAUAUUUAGUUCCUAACUUAUUAAUAAGAGCUCAAGGUGUCUCGAAUCGUGAAAAAAUUUUCUUUUGGAGGAAUUUAAUAACAAAUUUCGUGACAUUUGUUGGAAGAGUAACAACCUCCACCCACUUUGACACGUAAUCCACUACUAGCAAGAUAUAUUGGUUCCCAAAAGAGUUCGGGAAUAGUCUCAUGAAGUCAAUCCCCCAUACAUCAAAAACUUUUGCUUCUAAGAUUCCUUUCUAAAGCAUUUCAUUGCAUUUGGAAAUAUUGCUCGUUCUUUGGCAUCGAUCACAUCAUUUCGCAAACUCAUAUGCAUCAUAUAUCAUAGUGGGCCAAUAAAAGCAAGAUUGAAGAAUUUUUCCAAUGAUUUUUUUGCCCUCGAAGUGUCCCCCACAAGGAGAAGUAUGUUAGCCGCUAAGAAUAUCCCCCAUUUAUUCUUCUACAACACACCUUCAGAUGAUUUGGUCAGCACACUCCCGAAACGCAUAAGGUUCCUCCCAAAUGUGUUCCCUAGCAUCAUGAGCAAUAUUUUUCUUCUGUUGACUAGAUGCUCCUACAAGGAAACUCUUUGUACCAAAUAAUUAACAAUAUUCGCGUACCAAGGCAUGGAUUCAACUUUGUCCUUUACAUGAUAACAUUGGGUGAUAGUUGCUCAUCUAUAAAAUAUUUGUUUAUGGUGCCAGUUUCCCCUUGUCCAUCUUUGAUCUCUAACAGCAAUAAGUGAUCAACCACUUGAUUUUUUGUUCCUUUUUUGUUCAAAACCUUCAGAUCAAAUUCUUGCAAAAGUAUAACCUAAUUCAUCUGUCAAGAUUUAGUAUCUUUCUUUUUCAUCACAUAUUUCAACGUCGAAUGAUUUGUAUAUACAUAAACCUGAUUAGCCAUCAAAUAUGAUCGAAACUUUUCACAAGCGAACACCACAGCUAACAUUUCCUUCUCAAUGGUUGUGUAACUACAUUGAGUAGAAUUCAGUGUUUUACUCGUGCAAUAGAUGACAUGAAAGAUCUCGUCUCUUUUCUGUCCUAUCAUUGCCCCGGCUGUGUAAUCACUAGCUCACAUAUGAUCACAAAGGGCUUAUUCCAAUUUGGACAUGUUAUGAUCGGAGCCGUAACUAGUUUCUGUUUCAGCACCUCGAAGGCUUCAUGGCAUGUUGUGCCAAAGACAAAAGGAAUAUCCUUCCGGAGGAGAUGAGUUAAAGGUUUAGCUAUUUGGGAGAAAUCCUUAAUGAAUCAUCAGUAAAAUUCCACAUGUCCAAGGAAAUUCCUAAUUUCGCAGACUGUCCUCUGAGAAGGGAGUUUUUCAAUAACCUCAAUCUUAGACUAGUCGACUUCCAACCCUUUCUUAGAAAUAUGGUGCCCCAAAAAAAUCCCUUCAUUGACCAUAAAAUAACACUUUUCUUAAUUCAAAACUAGAUAUGUGUCUUCACAUCCUUCUAGAACUCGUUCUAAAUUAGCUAGGCAAUUAGUGAAGGAAUCCUUGUACAUAGAAAAGUCAUCCAUGAACACAUCCAACCCGUCUUCUAUCAUGUCAGUGAAGAUUAUUAUCAUGUAAAACAUGAAGGUAGCUGGGGCAUUACACAACCCAAAGGGAAUUCUUCGAAAGGUAUAGGUCCCAAAGGGACAUGUGAUGUGGUCUUCUCCAUAUCAUCAGGGUGAAACGGGAUUUGAUGGUAUCCAAAGCAGCCAUCAAGAAAACAAUAGUACUCUUUCCUAGUAAAGGAAAGUGGUCCUUCCAAGUAGCAUCAUUGAGUUUCCUAAAGUCGAUGCAAACACGCCAUCCAGUUAUGGUGAGGGUCAGGACUAACUCAUUCCUUUCAUUAGGGACCGCAGUUAAACCACCCUUUUUUGGAACACACUGAGUAGAGCUAACCCACUCACUAUCGUAAAUCACAUAAAUAAAAUAGAAAUAUUGAAACUGUAUUACAUUUUCAACCCCGUUUUCGAUUAAUUUUCGUAGUAUUCUCUUGAAUCUCUCCCAAGUCUGCCCUAGAGUCUCUAUACUCCCCUGCUUGAGUUCGAAUAACUUCUCAUAAGUGGCUACCACUUCAGUCAUAGGACUAUUUCGCUUCAAGAACAAUUGCAGAAAUUCUUCCCACGAAGUAAUAGUAUCCGGGGGUAACAUAUCUAACCACUCCCUAGCUUUACCACCUAGGGCAAAAGGUAUUAACAAUAGUCAAAUCAUAUCCUUUGGAAUCCCAGCAUAGUUGACAGUGCUACAAACAUGCUCGAAUCUUCGAAGAAAAACCAUAUGAUUUUCCCCUUUAUUCACAUUAAAUUGAAGAUUUAUCAUAAUCCAUGUUAUCAAUGAUAGAUUAAUCUAAAAAUGUGGCACGUUAGCAUUAGGAGUCGUAAUAAUAGGUCGUAACCAAUUACGGUCGUACAACAUGGUACUUAGCAAUGACGCCAUGAUCAAUGAACAGUAGAUUCCUUACUCCGCAAGAAAGCUUAAAUUCCUAUAAUCAGUGAAAGAAUAAAUCAAGUACAAAAAUUUCAUUAUCCAGUUAACCAAAACAAUUAAUAUUUGAGGUUGUAUCUAUAACCUCGACUUUCGUCGAUUAUCUCUUUAAGUACACAUAAUGAAAAUAAAAAUAGUUCAAUCAAACGAUGAUUCCCUAGAAAUAGUGCCAAUAACUUAAUCGCCUCUCUCUUUCGAUCUCAUGAACGAUGGGAGAGAGUAGAAAAUCAACACUUAAGAAUUAAAAUGCAAUAUAAAAUUUACAGCUUUACUACAAAUUUGACAAGUCAAUUGUAAUAUUUGUAGUGUUACAAUGGAACACUGGAGUAUUACAAGGAUCAAACCUAAAAGAAUUGUGGGUUGAACAAUUUCUAAAUAAUGUGCGUGUAAAAUAAGAGUCUAACCAACUAAUCGUAAAAAUUUAUAUUACGAAAAAUCAUAAAAUCAAGAGAAAUUAAUAUGCUUUACUAUCUAACUAGCAAGAACUAAAUUGUAAAACAUGCAAAGUUACAAAAUUAACAAUUAAAUAACACACUGUGGUUGGUUGACAUUGAUGUGAUUCACUAAUCUUUGAAUUAGGGAUCCAAAUCGCUUAAACUCCCAAAAUGCCUUCAUUUUACCUCUCGAUCUCCAUUUUACCAAAUUAGACAAAUUAAUCCAGAUUAUCUCUCAAUCUCACCGGUUAACUUGGGAGUAAUGAAUUGGUGCUCAAUAAGAUCUCCUCUCGAUCUCAAUUUCCUAAAUGUUUCCUUAGGGUCCUUCAUCCAAAAAUCAACUCACCACAUCUCCAUCAACCAACCCCUUAAAAUUUUAGCUACUCAUGCUAGAAAUAAAACUAGCAACCAUGAAAAUCAAAAACAAAGAAGCCAUUACAGCAAAGCUUGAGAAAAAUAUAAAAGUUGGGAUUUUUAUGCAAGAAAAUUUUAAGGGCAUGUAAAAAGAAGCAUUUAACAAGAAAAUCUGAAGCAAUAAACAUAAAAUGAACAAAUUUUAAUAGAUGAAAAGUAAAAGAAACUGAAAUACAUCAAAUGAAAUCUAAAAACAUCUUACAACCAAGGUAUCAGGACUAAAAUUACAAAUAAACCUAAGCUAUAGUGAUAGCUAACUUAACUAACACUAAGAACAACUAAAACAAUAAGAAAAGUUGCUUGGAAAUGUAAAAUCUACAGCUAAGAAAAUGAAAAUAAGAAACCUUACAAAAAGAAGAAGAAAACCUAAGAGAAAACCGAAGGAAAACUAAGCCUAAACUAAGGUAAUGUUGCCUCUAUUUUUUCUCUCAGCCAAAUUUUGGUUGAUAUAACAGCUAUUUUGACCCAAUUUGUGUGCCCAAAAUACCCUUGAAUAGGCAUUCAUUGAUUGGUGCUUUGAAUGGACAAAGACUACCCUUUUUGUCCAAUUUUAUCCCCUCACGAUAUCAGUAUCACAAUACCAAGGAAGAGGAUAUCGCGAUACCUUAGACAGUUUCGAACUUUGGGGUCUUCUUGAAGGGUGGAUAUCGCGAUACCCAAAGUGGAUAUCGCGAUGCUACUGAAAGGUGGUCUCCAAUCUCGAGUCUGUUAAAGGUAUCACAAUUCCAAGGUUUGGAUAUUGCAAUACCCUCUCCUUUGGUGUCAUUCUCACCCGGUUUCAGCUUCCAACACGUCCCUACAUCACUCAACCAUACAUUAGGGCCCCAAAAUGGCAUUAUUGGCCAAUUUGGGUCUCAAAAUGAGUAAAAAAAAGGCAUUUACACUUAUUAACUUAAAAUCUAAAAAUUACAAAAAGCUACGAAAAAUACGUUACUUUGCUUGAGAAUAAACUCCUCAAGUAUACUGGGAAAACUUAAAUUAUCAUAUCAAAUUACGACAAAUCACAUGCCAACUAUACUCGACUUUGCUCGAAACCAUUAAUAGGGUAACCAACAUUUCAACUAUAUUUACAUGAUUCACAUAUCAAAGUUCAAUACAUAGCCAACUCAUUUCAUGCUCAACUCAAUUCAUACCAUGACACAUCAUCACUAUGUUUCAAUUUCAUAUAUGACCAAUAUGGCAAUCUUACAUAUCAAAUACAUAUCAGAUUUCAUGCUUUUUCUUAUCUUCCUUAUCUUCUGCAUGUCAUUUACAUAUGAGUUCAUAUUUUCAAUUUUACAUAUUCAUACCAAAUCAUCACAUUCAUAUCAUCAUUUAUACUAUAAUCACAUCUUUCAUCAAUUAACGAUUUCAAUUAAAUAUCAAAGUCAGAGGUAAAACUUACCUUUCAUGAGACAAAGCACCAAUGUUACCUUACUGAAUUUAAUAUUUAGUUAAACUAUGAAUUUAAACAAGUCAUGAAAGCACAAACCAUAUUAACUACCCAUUUAUGACUCUCGUCUUUUCUUUCUCUUGAGACGCCCUGAUAUUAUCUAAAAUAAUAUAAAAUAUUAUAUUAAUAAGAUUAAAAUUAAAAUAAAUAAAUAAUCUCUUGAAAAUAAAUAUUUAUUUUUAUCGAACAACAUUAUUAUAUUCUAUACUUAUAUUUACUAAUUUACCAAAUAAUUUUCUGACAUAAAUUCAUUUAGUAGAAAAUUUUUAAUACUUAAAUUUUCCCUUUAAUCAUGCCUUAAUUUGGAUAGUCGAGGUUGAGUGUUGGGUAAAAUAAAUUUUAAUUUGGAGCAGCUGAGUAGUACAAAUUACAUUUUGAAUAAAAAAUAAUAUUUUUAUUUAAAUUUAAUUAAAAAUAAAUAUAAAGACGUCCAUCAUCCAAGUCGUACCCAAAAAAAAAAAAAGUCCAAAUGAGCGCGUACCUGGAUUUACGGGAAUAAUUAUUCAAAAGAAAUAGAAUAAUUAACAAACUUGUCAUUUCCUAAAGUUGUUUAAAUUUAAUCAUCCCUAAAUAAUGGAGCAUCUUGCAAAUCGUGUUAACCCCGAAUCCAAUAUCAAAAUUCACAAUUUAUAACUCCUCCAAAAACCAUUUCUUACUUGUAUGUUUCACGUGGACCGUCAUUUUUUUGUCUAACAAUCAGACUCAGCUCUGAAAGUACUGCAGAUGUGCCCAUCAACACUUAUGGAAUGUAAAAAAAUGCCAUGAAUCUAAAAUCCCAAUUGGCCGUUUAUUAGAAUCCAUCUACCUACUUGCAAUAUGGACUCUGGAUAAACCCCUUACGGAAAAAGAUGGUAUUAUCAUUGACAUAAAAGAAAAGAAAGAAAGCAAAAGGAAGAGCAGGCUUUUCUCGAACCCAAAAACAUGGGAGAUUUGAUUGGAUAACAACUGCUCCUUGCCAGCGGACAUGAUAAAUGGCCAGAGUUGGAGUUUAAAGCACCCACUACAAAAUGUUGUCUGCAAGUAUUACGGAAUCUCAAAUAUAUAUGCCCAUUUCUCAUGAAAAUUUACUAUGGGGAAGAAGAUAUAACCAGGUUGGUAGGCGAUGAGAGAUAUGCAAACACAUGCAGCAAAGACAGAGAUAGGUAGAAAUCUUCAAACCAUACCAACCAACCAACAGUGAAACUACAAAAGGAUUUACUGCCGCUCUAUCUGAAUUGUUACGUGACUGAUAUUGUAUUCUCUCCUGAUGUAAUCUAUAACCUUGUUCAAUACCAUGUCAGCAUUAGCUUCACGCUUAAUUAAGACGUGGCAAGCUAAUAACACCUUACCAACAGUUAUGGCCCAAAUGUGCAGUUCAUGUAUGGCAACAACCUCGUCCAUCUCACAUAAACCCUUCUCCAGCCUCGUGGCAUCAAUUUCUCGGGGCGUGCUCUCCAUCAGAACUUCCAAAAUGUUUCGCAGCAUCCUGAUGGUUGUUGCCAAUACAAUAAUGGAGAAUACGAGGGUGCAUAUCAAAUCAAUUAUUUUCCACUCAGGUUUGUACCAAAUUAUUGCUCCACCAAUCAUCACUCCGAUGCUCUGAAUGGAAUCCCCUAGUACGUGAAGAUAAGCCCCUUGUAUAUUGAUGUUUCUUUCCUUCUUCUGAGAUGCUCCACUUUCUGGGUUCUUUUCACAAUCUGAGUAUGUCUUAAGAAGAGGCACCUGGUGGUCAGCUUCAGCUUCGUGAGCAUGAUGGUGCUCAUCAUGUAGUUUACUAUUCCCACCAUGAUUAUGGUGAAGGUGAUGGUGAGAAGUUAUACUUAAUCCAUGACUAUGUGGUUCAGUGUCAUGGCUAUGACUGUGACCAUGGUGGUCAUGAUCGUUCCCACCAUGGCCAUGGUGAUGCCCAUGAUCAUGACCCAGCAAGAUAGCCAUAGCUAUAUUAACCACUAAACCAAAUGCAGAAACCACGAACAUGAGAAAGCCUUGUACUUCCCCUGUAUCAUGGAUAAGUCUAGCUAUGGCUUCAUAAACAAGGAUGCCAGCUAGAAGCCAUAUCAUCUGGAUGGAAACAAGGGCACCAAGAAUUUCAAUCCUGAAGAAUCCAUAUGUUUGACGAGGAGUAGCCUCCCACCCUGAUGCCCAGAGAGAAAACAAGGAAAUUGCAAAUGCUGCAACAUCUGACAAGAGAUGAGCUGCAUCAGUUAAGAUUGCAAGACUGUUGGCUUUAAUUCCUCCGGCUACUUCAACACUCAUAAAGACAAUGCACAGCACUACUGCUGUUAACAAUUUCCGCAUAGAGGCUGCACGUUCGUUUGCAUCUUUAGAAAUGGUUUGAGCAUCAGAAAACCCACAUGCUGCGCCUCCACAAAUCGUAUUUCCACCUAGGCUUGUCUCUGCAGCUGGCACAUCUCCACGUAUUUCAAUUAUCUGCCCUUGUUCAGAAUUUUGCACUUCCAUCUGAAAACUGUAUAAACAACGAGUUGAGAAAUUUUUUAUUCACAAACUGUAGAACAAAAAAACAAAAUGAGGUCAAGUCAACAAAGUUAUCAAGAUUAGAAGGACUUUUAUCAACAAAAAAACAGCUUAUUUUCAAUAUCUCUCAUCAACCCCGGCAUUUCUCUUAGCCUUCUCCUUUGCCUCUCUUUCUCAUCAUAUGGUAUCUUUACCUAAUAAAAAUUUCACCAUGUUACCAACUUCUCAACCAAAAUCUGCCAAUAAACCAUAGAUAUCUUCAAUCCUUUAUUAUGAUUCGCAAGUGGUUUUAACGUAUGAAUUUCCAACACGCAUCUCAAAACAAUUUAUCUAAAAAAGUGGAAAAAAUUUGCAAUCCAGAACUACUGACAUCCUCAUCAGCAUCAAGUCAUAGUAAAUACAAAAGUAGGCAGGGAAAAUAGCAGAGAGACCACGAUAGGAGAGUGGCAUGUAGCAAUGCAGGAUAACUUUUUUCUUGGAGAUUAUUUUUAAGGACAGUGGCCUCCGUGCUUAUUUUCCUUUAAAAGUAUCCGAUUUGAUACACAUUGCAUUGAUAUUUCUCCUUUCACUUAAAAAGGACAGCGAUAUAUAUAUUUAGCCUUAAAACUCUUAUACUAAAACAGGGGACACACAAAAGAAGAGGAAUGAAAGGUUUUCUUUAUGCCCAAGAUUCAUGAAGACUAAAGAAUCAAAUACAAACUUAGCAGCAAAUAUCACAAUUGCAGCCCAUGUAUUGGAUCAGGAAAAGCGUCACACGUUUUAAUAUGUAUAUACAUAUAUAUUGAUACAUGUAUACAAGAUUGUAUCAGUUUUAAAUCUAGAGUCAAACAAAAAAAAAGGUAAUUCCAAAGGUGGUUAUUCAGAAUCAUUUUCAACGAAUAAACGGACUUAAAGGAAUCAGUGGAGUAAUAAAAUAAAAGAAAUAGAAUUACCUUCUGUAGUGGCUCUUCGUUCUCGCUUUUGAUUACUCCAGCCUUCUCCGAAGAAUAAAUCCCAAUUUCUUUUGCAUAUUACAGAGGUACGAUAAUGAUGAGAAUAAAAAAUAAGAAACCAGCAAAAAAAUAAAUUAUACAAUUAAAUAUUGGUGUUGUAAGAGAAACCCAUUUUCUGGAGAUUUAGAAAAACUUUUAAAAAGUAUAUAUAUUUUUCUUAUUUCUCAGGAUCUGGGAAAAGCAGAGAAAGAGAAGGAAAGAAAACCCAGAUUCCAGACAUAUUGAAUGGGAUAAGAACAAACUUUGAAAAAGAAUAAAUAAGAAAGAACGGAAAAAAGCACCUUUAAUUGAAGUAAUGGUGGCUCCACCAGAUUGAGAGGUUUGAUGCAGUAAAAGCAAGAGCAAAAAUAUAAAUAUUAGUGCUGCAUAACACGAGGAAAAAGCUUAUUUGACACAUAUGUUCUAAAAUAAUUAGACAAGAAUACUUAAGAACAGAAAAAGGGUUUUUUACAAUAAUAUUAUAAAUAAAAAUAAAAAUUUACCAAAAUAUUAUAACUUUUUUAUUUACCAAAAUAUAUAAAUUUUUUUAUUUACCAAAAUAUACAAAAACCAAAAAAAAACCUGCAAAAAAAAUCAGAUCGAUGUGACAAUUAACUGGUCACGCCAAUGGGAUUGGGGGCACCAAAGGUGCCAAAACCAUUGGCGGCACCAAUGGUGCCAAUGCCAUUGGCGGCACCAAUGGUGCCAUACUAAUUGGCGGCACCACUCGUAUUAUAAAUACGACCUCUGUCCAGCUGAAGAGAGAAAAAUCAAAAGAAAAAAAAAGAAGAAGAAGAGUUGGCGCGAAAAAGAAGAGAAAAAUAGGAGAAAAAGGAGUUAUUUUUUAAAAAAUAAUUGAUUAUAUUGUUGUUAUUAUUUUGUAAUAUUUUGUAAUAUUUUUUGUUUUAGUUUAGUUAUUAAGAUUAAUAAAACUCAAAAUAAUAGUAUUAGUUAGUAUUAUUAUUAUUGUUGUUGUUGUUGUUGUUGUUGGUAUUAAGAUGUUAUUAAUGUAUUAAGCUGUAACUUAGUAAUAUUAUUGUUAGCAGAAAACUAAUAUUAUUAUUAUGGUUACUUAUUAUUUUUAUUUACGAAAAUAAACUAGUUAGUAAAAAACUAGUAUUAUUAUUAUAGUUAGUUAGUUAGUUAUUAUUUUUAGUAAAAUUAAUAAUUUUAGUGUGUAUUAUUUUGAGUAUAAAAUUAUUAAUAUUAUUUUGAGUAUAAAAUUAAUAAUUUUAGUGUGUAUUAUUUUGUGUAUUAUUUUGAGUAUAAAUUUUUUUUUAAGUAAUUCAGUUACCGUUCGAGAUUUUUUAUGAGAUUUUUUUUUUUAUUUGACAGAUUAAAUAUUGAAGAUGGAUGCUAAGUUUCUUGUAUGCGUUUAUUUCGAUGGAGUCAUAUUGACAACAAGUGUUGGAUGUGUAUUUGAAUGUCGGCAACAAAUAGCAAUGAGAUUUAAUAGAAAUGUAUCGUUCGAUGAAAUGAAAGCAAUGAUUAAUGCAAAAAUCCAUAGACGUUGUGGGAGAAGGAUAUCAAAAAUUUUCUACAAGUUUCCAGUUUCGACAAAUCCGGUCAAAUUCGUCGAAAUGGAACUUGUAGACGACGAAGACGUGGAGACAAUGGUCGAUCUCUACUGUGGGAAUGGGAGUGAGAAGAAUGCACCGAUUCACUUAUUUGCUGAGUUAGUCGAUAUGGAGCAAAAUGCAUCUGAUGAAGAAGACGGGGCUGAAGAACCGCGGAUGGUGGCUCCAAUAUCAUACGUUGAUAGUGAAUCAACUAUGGGUGGGAUCAGUAUCGACCUGAAUAUUACAGCCGAUGUUGACAUGGUUGGUGGUGAAGAAAAAGGUGCCGGCGAAGAAGAAGGUGGUGGCGAUAUGAAGAGGUCGAUAGUGACGCUGAUCCCGAUGUGGAUGAUGUACCUGAUGAUAUUGACGCUGAAGAUGUCAACAACGAUGAAGGCAUUAACGCUUCUUCAGUCGGGGAGCAGAUGCGGCAUAUUGUGAUACACAAUAAUCCUGGGCCACACAUGUCGCUCAUAGACCCCGACACAGCUUAUGUAUCUGAGUUUCCGGAGUACCCUGAAAUAGGUCAUUCUCACGGGCUGGCCGUAACAUCUGAUGAUGAUGAGUUAUUCAUAGGCUAGAGAUUCAGUUGUAAAGAAGAGUGCGUAUAUGCCAUUAAACGGUACAGCAUGAAGAUAUCGGUGGAUUAUAAAGUCUCCGUCUCUACUCCGACAAUAUAUGUUGGGGAGUGUUGGAAGGCUGCGGAAGGCUGCAAUUGGCGGGUACGAGCUGCAUUCAUUAGAAGUUCUCAGAUGUGGGAAAUACGAAAAUUUGUUGGUCCUCAUAUAUGCACAUCAACACGUAUGACAGAAGAUCAUGGAAAACUUGAUUCGAAAACUAUUUGUACGUGUAUCAUGCCAAUGGUGAAGGAUAUGCCGACCAUUAGAGUUUCGAUACUCAUUGCGGAAAUGCAAGCACGAUUCCAGUAUCGAGUCUCAUAUCGGAAGGCAUGGGUAGCUAAACAGAUGGCGAUGGAGCAACUGUAUGGGGAUUACGAUUCGUCGUAUAACGAGCUUCAAGGUUGGAUAGCUGCUAUGCGGGAGUACGUACCGGGGACUAUGAUUGAGUUGCAGACAAGUCUAUAUUACGGCCCGGAUGAGCAGUUACAGCCGGCAAAAAGAAUUUUCCAUCGGAUGUUCUGGAUGUUCGAUCCAUGUGUGCGGGCAUUUCCCCACUGCAAGCCACUUGUGCAGGUGGAUGAGACCUGGUUGUAUGGAAAAUAUACACAGAUACUGCUUCUUGCAGUUGCGCAAGACAGUAACAGAAACGUGCUCCCGAUAGCAUUUGCUAUCGUAGGUAAAAAGAACAUGGAGUCUUGGGAAUUCUUCCUAACAAAUCUGCGGAAGUAUGUUAUUAGGAACGAUAACAUUUGCAUCAUCUCCGAUAGAGGGAAGGGUUUAAUUGCAGCUAUUAGGCGUUCCGGUGUGUCAUGGAGAUCCGUUUACUGCAUUCGUCACAUUGCGUCAAACUUCCAUAAAGAUUACAAGUAUGCAGACCGGAAGAGACAAGUCGUGGCAAUGGGUAAAUGAUAACCUUAUCUUUUCAAUCUAAGUUGUAAUGUUUGAUGUUAUGGACUUACUAGAACUUAUUUUUCGUUAAUACGUAUGCAGCGUACGAGUUAAAGCCACAUAUUUUCCGGAAAAGAAUGAACCGACUUGAGAGUGACAUAGAGGGGCAGACAAACACAUUUUUCCGGCAAUGGUUGCGCACAAUGGAGCCGUGGCAGUGUGCUCAAAGUUUUGACGAGGGCUUUCGUUAUGGCCACAUGACCACAAACUUAGACAAGGGGAUCGAUGCUAUCUUGUUGAAAACACGUCAUCUUCUGAUUGCAUCGGUAUUUUCUGCUACUUUCUACAGGUUGGCUACGUUGAUGCCAAGAAUGGGGGGGCAGCAAGUCGACCAGAUUCAGGCGGGACAUGUGUUUGUCGAACAUGUGAGGGAUGCAAUGGUCGUAAAUCGUCGGUUGGCAAGGUCAAUGAACGUGAAAAUAUAUUCACGACGACUGGAAACGUUUCAAGUUACUGGGAACAUCGGUCGUCGAACUAGGUCCUACGGAGUUGAUCUUCGGAACAGACGGUGCGAGUGCAUGAAGUUCGAAACACUUCAUUAUCCCUGUGCGCAUGUCGUGGCAGCGUGUGCUAAAGUCAACCUUGAUGCUAAACAAUAUGUCGAUGAUGUGUACACGCUGGAGCGCACAUUGCGUGUCUGGGAGAAUGAGUUCCCCGUCCUGCCGGACCUAUCUACGUGGGAGGUGCCGCCGAUCACUUUUGAGCUUCUCCCAGACGCAGGGCUACAGAGGAAUCCAAGGGGUCGUCCGCAGUCAAGCAGAAUCCGUAAUGAGAUGGACAUUAGGGAGAAAUCUGACAGAAAGCAUUGUGGAAUAUGUAGGUUAAGUGGUCAUAGCCGGAAUAAAUGUCCUAACCGAAACUUUCAUGUCAGGCAGUCGUCGGGAUCGAGGCGAAAUUGAGCUACUGACCCAAAAUUUUUAUGUAUAUUGUUAUAAAAGGUAAUUUUAAGAUUAUAUCGAUUUUUUUAUUCGGCUUAUGCUUACGCUUAAAUUGUAUCCAAAUUGUAACAUUACCAUUUAAAUGUUAAAAAAAACCAUGUGAGCGUUGUGGAAUUAUUAAGAUUAUAUCGAAAAUAGAGGCAUUCAUAAUUUGAUUGAGCUUUAAUAUAAUGAAAAAAGUCGUGGCAAUGGAUAUUUAUACAUAAAAUUCAGAAGUAAGCAAUACCUAAAAUACAAAUAUGGCAUUUAUGGAAAAAGUGCAUUAAACCCCUAAAUUUGAUGGUUCGAUGGUGUUGUCCGAGGGGUAUACCUAUGCGAAGGUCGACGCUCACGGCCUGGGCGACGACUAACAUCCUCAUCGUCCGCAGGUGGGGGCGUGGAAAACGUAGAGGAAAGGUCUUGUUGCUCGUUCGCCGCCGACGAACUUGAACCAUCAUGAGUCUUAUAAUGCUGCAGAUACGUGUCGGACAGGCCGGGCAUGCCGUACUGCGGCCAAGGGGAUCCAAACAGUUCAAAGUCGUAGGCGUAUUCGCCCUGUGCGAAGCUCGGAUAAUAUUCACCGCCCACCGAAUCCGGACGAUAGCCAUGUGAAUCCAUAUUUAACUGUGAUUGUCCGGGAUCUGGUUAGGGGUUCUGCUCGGGCUCUGCCUGUUGCGGAGAAUAAUAUGCCAUCGGCUCCGUAUCCAGCACGCUCGUUGCGUCCGAUCCCCAAACUUGUUGCACGUAGGGGGGAUUACAGUCGAUUGCGCUCCAAGUAAAUACGGCUUCCCGCAGCUAUGGCACCAUUGUGCAUACUCCAAUGAUGGUUGCAGGUCGGUAGCCAUAACCAUCUGAGGAAUUCGGCGCAAUCGAUCAUUCCACAGUGCGACGUAUUUCCGGUGAAAUAUUCCCCAGUCCAAUUGAACUCUUCCUCUCUUUGUCAAGCCGUGAUCAUCCCCCAAUUGGCACGGCGGAUCCGGGAUAGGUUGGAUGCACCCAAACUGCCGAAGCACCCGAUCACCGUGAUACUACUCGACGACGUUGAAAUUUAUUAUUAGUGUGUUAGUACACCAUAUGUGGGAAUCAACGAGUGCGGACGAGAGUACAACAUUCAAAAUUUUCGGCCUCCGAUACGGCAUCCAUAUAAACUGCAUAAGUAAUAACAUUGUAACGAGUUAGACCAAUAACAUGUGAGUAAGAUAUAGAAAUAGAAUAGAUGCCAUUAAUAAUAGAAUAGCAGCUUACCCCUUCCUGGGCAUGUUGUUCAAUCCUGAAGCGGUAUAUCGGGACAUCACUCGACUUCCCGAUGCCUAGACGGGUCCACCUACAAAAAUUAGUACAGGGUUUAGGGUUGGUAACAUUACCAUAUAUAUUAUUCGGGACAAAUAAUGACAAUUUGUAAUAUUUUUUUCACCUGAGUGCCAAUGGAUACAGAUAGGGUUGGUGAGUAACGCGUGCCAAAAACGGCAUCCGAUAAAGCGCCCAUAACUGCAGCAGUAUGAGGCAUCCGCCGAUGUCUUUAACUUGCGGCUCUGUCGUCCGACAAAGCUCCCGGUACAGAGUUGCUAGAACGGCAGAACCCCAGCUGUACGAUCUAGCAGUGGAGAAAUCAGCUAGCAGGGGCAAGUAUGACAAAUGCACACUGUCGCCGUUUGCAUCAGGCAUGAGUACUGCCCCUAUCAUAUGCAUGAUGUACGCUCGAGCAGCGCACAUCAGCUCACCUUCACUGGCGGUUGCUGAUAAUCCGCAUAUUUUGGCUUUUAGCCAUGUAAAUUUUAUGCCGGAAAAAUAUUUAUCACCAUCCUCUGGUGACUCUCCUAGGGGUUGAUAGCAAACUGUAGCCGGAUCGGUGAAUGAAGAUACUCCCGUUACGGGACUCCCGUCAAUUGGGAGUCCAAGCUGCACUGCAACAUCCUCCAAGGUCACCGUGCACUCCCCGCACGGAAAAUGGAAAGUAUGGGUCUCUGAACGUCACCGCUCCACUAGCGCAGAUAAUAAAUCAAACCGCAAGUCGGAGGACCGGAUCAAUGCUACUGACCCAAAUCCGGCUAGCUCCAGGUACGGCAUAAAUCGUGCAUCCGGAGCUAUCUUUAAAGCACUGACACGGCCCCUUAAUACUCGGAACGAGUCCUGAUAGUGUAAAAUUACAAAAAAAUAUUACGAUAACAUAAUUUAUUUGUAUAUACUGCGUAUAUCGUUUUUAAAUAAAUAGAACUCCUGAUUAACAAAUAAUAAAUCAUACCGCGUUAUUAGCCGCAUCAGAUAUGUGUCUAAUAUCGGUUCAUAUCAAUCGAGCCAUUGUGAUGCCUGCAAGUUGAAAAAAAAAGUUAGUAAAUAAAUCUUACUUCGGCCAUUUAUUCAUAUUUUUUUCUUCGCAUUUUAUUACUUUAAAAAAUAUUAUAAUUUCUAAUUUUAUAAUUUUACAUUAUUUCAGUGCAUAAUGUUUGAAAUUUAUUACUCUAGUGUGUUAUUUAAAUUAAUUUGGUGUAAAAAAUUAACCCUUACCCCUGCCCUUUGCUCGUAUUAUUUUCUCGAUUUUUAUUACUUUAAAUAAAAUUAUUUUAUUCUCGUAUUUUAUUGUUUUAUAUUAUUUCAGUACAUUUUCUUUGAAAUAUUUUGUAUUAAUUAUUUCUGAAUUUUAUAAAAGUUAGUAAUACACUCUUACUUCUGCCAUUUGUUCGUAUUUUUUUCUCCGCAUUUUAUUACUUUAAAAAAUAUCAUAAACUUAGUCUUUUAAAAUUUUACAUUAUUUCAGUGCAUCGUGUUUGAAAUUUAUUAAUUUAGUGUGUUAAGGGAGAAUAAAAGAAAAUAAUAAAUAAGUAGGGAUUAAAAGGUAAUUAGCCACAUAUUUGUGCCGCCUUUUUUUCCCCUCCAUCACCCUUUUUUUUUCCUCUAUUAUUUUGGUAAAUAAAGAAAAAGUUUAUAAAAUUUUGGUAUUUUUUUUGUAAUAUUUUGCUAAAAAAGCCGCAAUAAACCCUUUCCCCNNNNNNNNNNNNNNNNNNNNNNNNNNNNNNNNNNNNNNNNNNNNNNNNNNNNNNNNNNNNNNNNNNNNNNNNNNNNNNNNNNNNNNNNNNNNNNNNNNNNNNNNNNNNNNNNNNNNNNNNNNNNNNNNNNNNNNNNNNNNNNNNNNNNNNNNNNNNNNNNNNNNNNNNNNNNNNNNNNNNNNNNNNNNNNNNNNNNNNNNNNNNNNNNNNNNNNNNNNNNNNNNNNNNNNNNNNNNNNNNNNNNNNNNNNNNNNNNNNNNNNNNNNNNNNNNNNNNNNNNNNNNNNNNNNNNNNNNNNNNNNNNNNNNNNNNNNNNNNNNNNNNNNNNNNNNNNNNNNNNNNNNNNNNNNNNNNNNNNNNNNNNNNNNNNNNNNNNNNNNNNNNNNNNNNNNNNNNNNNNNNNNNNNNNNNNNNNNNNNNNNNNNNNNNNNNNNNNNNNNNNNNNNNNNNNNNNNNNNNNNNNNNNNNNNNNNNNNNNNNNNNNNNNNNNNNNNNNNNNNNNNNNNNNNNNNNNNNNNNNNNNNNNNNNNNNNNNNNNNNNNNNNNNNNNNNNNNNNNNNNNNNNNNNNNNNNNNNNNNNNNNNNNNNNNNNNNNNNNNNNNNNNNNNNNNNNNNNNNNNNNNNUUUCUUUCUCUUUUUCUCUUCUCCUUUCCCUUUCUUUCCUUCUUUUUCUUUCUUCCCUCUCAUUUCUUCCUUUCUUUCUCUCUUUCUUUCUUUCUUUCCUUCUCCUUCUGCCCCCCCACCACCGACCCCCCCUAUUAUUAACUGGUGCCGCCAAUCCCAUUGGCGUGACCAGUUAAUUGUCACAUCGAUCUGAUUUUUUUGGUUUUUUUAUAUAUUUUGGUAAAUAAAAAAAGUUAUAAUAUUUUGGUAAAUUUUUAUUUUUUUAUAAUAUUAUUGUAAAAAACCCACAGAAAAAAUAUAAAAAUUUCCUUCAUUUUCCACCCUAGGAUUUCGACUGACAAUUCAAUCCUUUUCCAUCCUUUUUCUCCAAGUCCUUUUUGGUAAUAUAAAGUGAAUAAUAAUAAUAAUAAUAAUAAUAAUAAUAAUAAUAAUAAUAAUAAUAAUAAUAAUAAUAAACUACCUCUUAGAUAUUAAAGAAUGAGUAAAUUUUUAUUUUGAUCACUUAAUUAAAAAAAUUAUAAUUUGGUUAUUAAAUUAUUUGAAAGUUUUUAUUUAAGUUACUAGACUGUUAAAAUUAAUGCUAUAUGGUUUUCUUUAUUCGCAUUGUCUACACUAAUCAAAAGACUUUUUUCCUUCUCUUCUACAGUUCAGUUUUUUUCAUGAAACAACUUUUGAUAUCACAAGUCUACAAACCAAAAUUCAAACAAUUUUCUUCUCCAAACUCCGACAUUGACCUUUAAAUCAACUUAGACCUAAGAUAUGUUCUUUUACUCAUUGAUGGGUACCAAUCCACCAAACUAAUUGUCGAAUCGUCACUUGGAAUUUAUAGUUAAAACUUAAAAAAAAAAAACUUAACAGCCUAGUAUUUUAAAUAAAAUUUUUGAAUAGUUUAUUGAUUUAAAUAAAAACUUUUGAAUAGUUUAAUGGCUUAAAUUGAAAAUUUUUAAAUAACCCAAUAGCGAAAUUAUAAUUUUUUAAAAUUAAAUAACCGAAAAUAAAAAAAAUUACCCGGUUAAUGAUGGAAAAAACUUGGAUUUGAAUUCGCUUUUAAAUUAGGCUUUUAGCCACCAAACUAUAACAUUUUCUUCAUUUAAGUAGUUAACACUUUUUUUUGGUUAAAAAUAAUACCUAAAUUAGCAAUUUGGUGUUACUUUUUCCAAAAAUAUAUGAUAUCCAAAACAUUUCAUUAUUCUUUUUUUAUUGAUUGAUAUCAUAUUUUGAUAUAAAAAUAUAUAUACUUAAAUGAAAAAUACGAUAUAAUUUGAAGGAAAAGUAUUCAAGCUCACGGUUUGAUAAAAUUUACACAUAUCUCUACGUUUUGGAAAAUAACCAUUAACCUCUUUAGGGCUUGGUAAAAAUCUACUAACCCUCUCUGUUAUUGUUCUAUUUAUUUUUGUUAUUUUUAAUUUUGAUAUUUGAUAUUUUCUAUUUAAAAUAAUAAAAAUUUAAUUAAUUAUAAAAUGUAUUUAUUAUUAAAUUAAAUUAUAAAUUGUAUUAUACUCUUUUAAUUUUUGUUUUUAGUAGUUUUUUAUAGUUAAUAUUUAAAUCUUAAUUUAUUUAUAAUAACUACCGGACAAUAGCCAAUUUCUCAACUUUAUGGGAUUUUCGAUAAUAUUUAUAAUAUAUUAGUAUGGUUCAACCAUGCUUCGUGUUGGGUUAAUUAUUUAUUUGUGCCAAAUUAUAAAGUAAAAAUCUGAAGAUUAAAAUAUACUCUAAGUAAGAUUUGUAGAACCAAUCAGUGGUUGAACUAGUCAGGCCACUAGUUCAUACAGUUUUGAUUAAAUAAAUCAUUAAAAAUUCGUAAAAAUAAUUUUAAAAAAUUGAUUCAACUAGUACGAACUGAUUCAUAGGUCAACCAAUCUGAUGCCUCUCUCUAGACUGACAUCCCACUCAAUUCUCGGUCCAGUAUGGUUCAAACAACCAUUACUCUAAGUCUAUAUAUACUUCAUACAUUUAGAAUUUAGUCUUACUACCUUUAUUUUCAAGAAUUUAAUCACUCUACUUUUUUUAUUUAAAAAUCUGCUUUCACAUUAUAUAUAACAUGCAACAUUUUAAUAAAAAAGUUAACGAUAUUAACUAUUUUAAUUAAUUAAUAAUAUUAUAUAAAUAAAGAGACCAAAUUAUAUUAGAAAAUAAAGUAUAAGAAUUAAAUAUUAAAUUUAAGCAUAAUAGAGAGACCAAAACUAAAAUUUAACCAUUUAUUUAUAAUGUAAAAAAAAAAACAUUUUGAACCACGUGUCUGUGUAGGAAGGACCUUCCUUUUAUAUAGAGUUAGGGUAAACUACAUUAGCAGUCAUCCAACUAUUAGUAAAUUGUUUUUUUUUUUGUCAUCCAACUAUGAAAAUUUACAAAAUGGUAAGUCUUUUUUAGUCACCCAAGUAUCUUGGAUUUUUUGGUGUUUUCAUUUUUAUGUUAGUCAGCUAGUGACCAAAAAAGACAAUAUUGAAUAGUUGAGUGACCAUUUUGUAACUUUUUAUAGUUUUGUGACCAUUUUGUAAUUUUUCAUAGUUAGGUGACCAAAAAAGAAAUUUACUUAUAAUUGAGUGACUACUAGUGUAGUUUCCCAUAGAGUUAUAUAGAUAUACAUGUAAUCCAUUCAAAAUGGUAACUUAACUAUUCAAUUUUGUCUUUUUUUAAUUAUCUAACUAUCUUGGAUUUUUGGAUGUUUUCAUUUUUAUGACCAAAAAAGGCAAAUUUAAAUAGUUGAGUAACUAUUUUGUAACUUUUCAUAAUUUAAUGACCAAAAAAGAAAUUUACUAAUAAUUAGUGACUAUUUUAUAAAUUUUCAUAAUUAAAUAGCCAAAAAAAAGUUUUACUAAUAAUUGAGAAAGUGUAGCUUACCCAUAGAGUUAUAUAAAUAUACAUAUAAUCAAUUCAAAUUUUAUUGUGACGUUGAUACGUUUUCUUUUAAGAUUUCUUGCAUUUUCUAUUUUACCAUUUAUCAUGUAAUUGAAAAUUUUUAUAAAUAACAAAUAAAUGCUAGAUAUAAUGGUAAGAUAUUGUAUUGUCAAGAGAAGACUUGGAUUCAAAUUUUGGAGACAAUAUUAUUAAAAAGUAUAAAUAUAAACUCUAAAAGAUUAAUAUUCAUAAAUCGUUUAAAAAUUUUAAAUCAAUAUAAAAUCUAAUCCGAUAAAAAUUUUCAAGUGAAAAGUUUUUAAAAUUAGAAAUUCAAAUUUUAAAGGGAAAAAUUCAAUGUAAAACCAAAUCUUUUCCAUGUUUAUUUAAUCAUUCUAACUUUUAUUUACAAAAAAAAAUGAUACAUUCCGAUAUAAAAUGAAAUAAUAUAAGUGAAAGUAUCAUAAAACCCCUUGAAUUGAGUGUUUAAUUAUAUAUUUUUUCUUUACUCAAAAAUUAGAUAAAAUAAUAAUUAAAAAUUCCAAAUUUAAAAAAUCAACGUAAGACCGAAUCUUUUCCAUAUUUAUUUUUCAUAACUUCCAUUUAAAAUAAAAAGGUAGAAUGAUGCAUGCCAAUAUAAAAUGAAAAUGUAGCUAAAAACAUCAUAAAUAUUUUUGUAUUAAGAGUUGAAUUACAUUUUGUCCUCCUUAUUCAUACAAUAGGCAAAAUAAUUUUGAAAAUUCCAAUUUUAAAAGGGAAAAAGGUAAUUUAAGAGAAAACCUUUUCCAUUUUUAUUUACUCUAACUUCUAUUUACAAAAAAUAAAGAAGGUAAAAUGACAUAUUCUGAUAUAAAAUGAACCAGUGGUAGGUAAAGGUAUUAUAGAGACCAUUAUAUUAGGAGCCGGAUUGUAUUUCAUUUCUUAGAUUAAAAAAGUGGAUAAAUAAUUUAUGUGGGUUAGAUUAAAGAGUAAACUGAUAUUUUUGUUGAAAAUUUUAUUGAUUUAUAAUGUUAAAAACUAACUUAUCAAUGUACUUUAAUAUGAGGUAUAUAGUACGUCAUAUAUAACUAUUUAAUUAUUCCGUCAUUAAUAUUAAUUUUUAACAAUAAAAAUAAAUAAAACAAAAAAUAGGCAAUGUAGGGUUAGAAUAGAAAUAUAAAAGAUGAUUAUCACGAGAAGAUAAAAUGAGAAAAUUGAAAGUGGUGGCUGCCCUGCAAAGUCCAAAGUGACGCCCAUCACUCGCACUCCCUCCUGCUCCUUUUCUUUUUCCACAUCUCCCACGUGUCCUUGCACAUUGCUUCUAUUUACACAUGUUUAGAUAAUAAUGGAUUUCAUUCGAUUCAGUAUAAUAUCAAAAUCCAUAGGGCAGUUAAAAUGCUAAUUCCAGCGUCCAACAUGUUUGAAAAGAUAAUGGUGGAAAUGUAAAAGGAAUUACAAGUUUCACACCUACAAACUGAGGUAUGGUGAUUUAUGUAUUGGUUGUUUUAAGAUAUACGUAAUAGAUCUGGUUGGAUUUUGUUUGUUUCGGCCUAGAGACAAGCUCCCCCAAAUUGGGCAUCAACAUCUGGAAAAGAUUAACCAACACCACACUCCUUCCCCCCAAAAUAGCAAAAUUGUAUCAAUAAAACAAUAGAUUUUCAAUAUGAAUGUAAAUCCCUCAGAAAUCUAGCUCAAGGAAUGAUGACAUAUAACAUCACUGCUACUAUAGAAAAUGUUUCUGUGCAGUGACUUCAAUGUCAAAGAACUCAAAUGUUUUAAUUGUUUUAUCCCUCCAUGACUGAUUUCAAUUUGCAGAUCAUAAACAGUCACUAUUGUUCUACCAAUUGUGUUAUCUAUGAAUGAAUACCAUCACUAUUUGACUUCCCAAGAUACUCCACCUCCGCAAUCAUACUUACCACCUUCCUAUACAUGUUUAAGUUUCCACACCAUUCAUAAUAACCUCCUCAAUCAGAAAAACUGACAACAAGAGCUUAAAUUCAAGCAUGACACAAUGCUAAAUUAGAAAACAUGGAAUCACCCCUCAUAUCAAACAAGAAGUUUGAUAAUUCAUUAGUGAGUGGUGCCAAAAAAGUAUACCUACUGCCCAGGGAUUUAAAUUGCGGUUGCGACUACGUUUUCGGUUGCAUUGCAUUUAUCGUGGUUGCGGACAUAAUGGAUACUAUUGCGGUUACUGUGGGUAUCGCGAUCGUGAAUUUUUUUAAAAAUUCAUAAACUUAUUGUAAAAUAUAAUAAUUAUAAUUAUAAUUAUUAUCACUUUUAAUGAUUUUUAGAGCGUUUUCUAACACUUAUGAACUUUUAUUAAUAUGAGAACACAAUUUUUAUAAUCAUUAAUUUUUCUUAUAUUUAUUUACAAAUUUUCUAAGAAUUUUAUAUUAACUAAUAACAAAGUAAAAAAAAAAGAAAUAUUAAACAUUCAUCAUAUUUAAUAAGUUUGAAAGUUUUUAUAGAUAAAUAAUUGAAAAUUCAUACAUGAGAGAGAUCUUCAAUAUUUUUUAACAGAUUUGAAGAUGCUGAAGAUAACAAAUCAUUCUAUGCUGAAAAAGGAAAAGAUGAAUGUAUAGAUUCUCAUUAAUUAUUCCUAUUUCCUACCACUUAUUCUCACUCUCAUUCUACUUUCAUAUAUAGUUUAACAUGCUUCGAUUCUUAAUUAUCUUUUCAUAAAAUAUAUUACAUUCAUUUAUCUAAAGAUGUAUUUUAAAUGUCUUAAUAUCAUUAAAAUUAAAAACAUUAACAAAAGUUUUCUUUAAAAAAAAUACCUUACAGAUAGUGGUAGUGGUACGAUUUAGUUUUCACCAAUUAGUGGAAUGAUGAGGAGGAUUAGAUCCUUCACCUUCACUUUGAGAGCGUUCUUGACUUGAUUCUCUUAGCCUUUGUCCAAAAAUAUAAAAAAAAAAAAACAUUUUCACCUUGGUUUUCAUAUAAUUGAUAUGGAGGAUAUAUUUGAGGAGGAAGAUAUAUGAGAGGUGGAGGUGGGUGAUACAUUGGUGGUGGUGGAUGCAUUUGAGGCUAGUAUGACACACCAUAAUUAGGAAAUGGUGGAUAAUAACCAUAUGGUUGUGGAUAACCAUGUGAAGGUUGAAAAUAUGGAGGUUGUUCUGGUGGAUAAAAACCUUAAGUGCUAAUAGAUGAAUCACUAUACCCAAGGUUACUAGAAUUCAAUCUCCUACCAGAUGAAGAGCCUAUAGAAGUAUGCUUCUUGUCUUUUCCUUUUGAUGGAGCUUUAGGUUCACUUCUAUCUCUCCUAGGUUCAGGAAACAUAUUUCCAUCAAAUUCUGAUCUAUCACGGAAAUGUCCACUAGUGGUACCAACCCCAUAUUCUCCUCUAUACCGACUAGAAGACCUAAUUUCACCUCUAUCUCUACUAUAUCCAUCAUCAUCAUCAAUUGAACUUAAACCACCACCAUCGGGUCCAUCGCCAUUCUAACUUGGAGUUGCACUAGAACUUGAAUGAGAUAAAUUUUUUUCUUGAGAUUGAUCAACAUUCAUUUCAUCAUCAGAGGUAUCCACAAGCAACACAGCGACAUUUUCACCAUCUAACAACAGAUUCUCUUUCUCAUGAAGCCAUUCUGAUAGUGGAUCAACAUCUUCAAAGAUAUGAAGGCUGAUAGGAUUAAAACUAGCUUUUAUAUCAUCAAUGCUCAUUAUUUUUUGAUGCAUUAUCUGAAGCCUCAUAUUAUAAUAGGUAAACACUAGUUUCUUAAGUUUUUUAUACUUCAACAUAUUUCUUGCCUUGGUGUGAAUAUAACUAAAUGUGCUCCAAUUUCGUUCGCAAUUUGAUGCAGAAGUUAUUUGACUAAGCACUUUAAUUGCUAAUUUUUGUAACUCAGGAACACAUGUGCCGUAUAUUAUCCACCACUCAACUACAUAAUAUUAUUUAAAUUUCAAAAUAACUUUGAAAUGUACAAUAUAAUUAAAUAAUAUAAAUUAGAUUAAAUAAUUUAAUUAACUAUUUACCCGGAUUCAUUUGCUUCCAAGCUCUUUGGGCUUGUGGAGUACCGAAUGUCUCAUGUUUAUCUCUAAAUAGUAACAACUGCAUAAAUAAAAGAUAAAGUAAAAAAAAAAUUCUAUUUCAAAUUAUGUAACUAAGUUACAAAUAAUAGUACUUGAAUCUAACUUGAUUAACCAUUCUGACUUGAGUAUCAAGAGAAGGUUCUAAUCUUUCAAUUACUGAUCUUGUACCUUCUAAUGUUUCUAUUAGUACAUUCUCAGAAUGCUCCACCCCAAAUUGAAAUUGAGGAUUGAAAAAAUAACCUAAGCAUAAUUUAUAAGAAUAUCAUCAAAUAAUAUUCUAAAGCUUAAAAUAAUAAAAUAUAAAAAUAGUUCUUAGUUAUAUGAAACAUUUUAUCUUACCAGCUGAAUGUAAACUGAAAUGCAUAAAAUUCCAUCUAUUGUCAAUAAUAUUUUCGUACUCGGUGAAAUAUCGACAAUCUUGUUGAAUUGCUCAUUUAGCUCUAUCAACAACCUCAUAAAUAAAGUCCAUUGUUGGUUUUUCAUCACCAUCCACAAGUCUCAAUUCUUUUACUAGGGGCUCGUAAACUUUUAUGAGGUCGUUGGCUUUUUUCCAAAAAUAUUUUCCCAAAACAAUUUUUUUGGCUUCAUAAGCAAGCUCUGACUUUUACUGUCCCCAUUUUGAUUCUUUAAAUUCCUAUAUAUUCAUAAGAAAAUUUUAAUUCACGCUUAGUGCACUUUGUGCAGAAGUGUUUUGGGAUUCAAAGUUUAAUUCAUAUGCCUAAAAAUAGAAUAAAUUUACGGACAAGAAAGUAAAAUCAGAUUUCACAGAAACGAGAUAAAAAGAACUAAAUUUACAGAAAUCAGUGUGGUCACUAUUAAGUAAUCUACGAUGAAAAUAAAAAAAAUAAGGGGGUUUAAUUAGUCUGAAAGAAAGAAAAUAAAUUUAAAUAAGAGAAAAUAGAAUGAUGUGUUGGAAAAUAAUUAUUGAGUGAUGAAUGAUAAAUUGAUACUCAAAUUAAACAAUUGUAUCUCUUGGUUUAAUAUUGUAUUUUUUUCAUACAGUUGUAUCUUUUGAAAAAAUGUAUCUCUUGGUUUAAUAUUGAAUUUUUUUCAUUUAUUGUCUCUAUUCACUCAUAUCUAUUAAUUUUUCAACAAAUCUCUUCAUUCUUUUCCUCUCCUCUAUAUAAAGUCAAGUUAGGAGAUUUCAAAAACGUAUCAUCAAAAAACUAUCAAUAUUUUAAAUUCCUUAUAAAUUCAUUUCUCCUGGUAAUAGAGAAAGGCAAGAGUGCUCAAUUGAUUAUUGUUGUUGUGCUACUACUGUGAUUUUUGGUUGUUGUAUCCUGGGAGACAGACGUCCAACAUUACUCAAAGCACCGAGGAGAGGUCGAAUUUGUCUUAAGGAAACUGUUUAUACAGGCCUCAACAAAAUUCUUCUUCUAAUUUUUAACUUUGUCCAAUUACAAGUAUUCUAUUAUGUUACUACUACUACAUUGUAUUGCAUUAUUAUUUUUAUUAACAUAUUAAUACUACAUAUGAUAUCAAAUUUUCUUACAAUCUUAAGACAGAUUAAUUGUUGUAAUUUUAAUCUAAAGCGUACAGAUUACCAUCAUAACUUAUUUAAGAUUGGUUUAUACUUCUGUUUUGGAUUUUAAUUUAUUUAUAAAUUCUAGUUCUUUAUUCCGAUUAUAAAAAAAUGUCUCACACGUCAAACAACUCAUCCAAUUUAAAGGCUGAGGCAAUUGUCGUUGCUCAAGUUCAGGAUGCAAGCCAAACGUUACCUGUGGCUAUGAGUCACAAUGAAAAGCCUGCGAAAUUCACUAGAGAGAAUUUUAAAACAUGGCAACAGAAAAUGUUGUUCUAUUUGACCAUGUUGAAUAUGACAAAAUUUUUGAAGGAUGAUCCUUCUAUUUUUAGAGAGGAUGAGGAAGAUGCUAUUACCGCCUUCAACAUUGUCGAAGCACGGAACAACUUUGAUUUCCUAUGUCGUAACUAUAUUUUGAACAGUUUAUCUGAUGAACUUUACGAAGUAUACAGUAUUAAGAAAACGACUAAGGAAUUAUGGGAAUCGCUGGACCAUAAAUACAAAACUGAAGAUGUUAGUGCUAAUAAAUUCUUAGUUAAAGUUCUUAAACUUUGUAAUGGUUGAUUCUAAAGCUGUUGUAAAUCAGGUGCAGAAAUUCCAACUAAUCAUUCAUGGUAUUCUCGUAGAAGGGAUGGAGAUAAGUGAAUCCCUUUAGGUGGCAACCAUUAUUGAAAAACUUCCCCCUGUUUGGAAUGACUUCAAGAACUAUCUUAAGCAUAAGAGAAAAGAAAUGACGGUGGAAGAUCUGAUUGUCAGACUUCGAAUUGAAGAAGACAAUCGAGGUGCGACUAAAAGGCUAAAAAAAGCAACCAAUCCUAACAUUACCAAAGUAAACGUAGUGGAAGUCAAUGAGGACUCCAAGAAAAGAAAACAUUCUCAGACUGGGUCUAGACUAGGACUAAAAGGCGGUGUUUUCAAGAAACCAAAAUUCUAAGGAAAAUGCUUUAAUUGUAAUAAGAUGGGGCACAAGUCAUCUGGUUGUAGGCUUCUAAAGAGGGUCAGAACAAACGAGGCCAACGCUGUGGAAAAUAUUUCUAAAGAAGUAUCUGAUCUUAACCUUUAUGUUGUGAUUUCUAAAGUCAACUUGGUUGAUUUAAAUCAAGAGAAUGGUGGCUUGAUACUGGUGCCACACAUCAUAUUUGCUGUGACAAGGACUCUUUUGUUGAGUUGGUUCCUUGUGAGAAAUGGGAGAAACUCUAUAUGGGCAAUGCCACAACUUCCAAGAUUAAGGGGAAAGGCACUGUAAUUUUGAAGUUUUGGCAAAUAGUUGAAACUUUAAAAUGUGUCGUAUGUGCUCGACAUAUGCAAGAAUCUUAUCUCUGGGACCCUCCUAAGUAUGCAUAGCUUUAAGAUGAUAUUUGAAUCCCAAAAGUCAGUUUUGUCAAAAGGGGGAACAUUUGUGAGAAGGGGAAAUGUAUUAAAUGAUAUGUGGAAACUCAAUGCUAUAUCUGUAAAAGCUAAUAGUAUGAAUAAGAAUAAUGAUUCUUCUUUUGUUUAUAUGUUUGAGUUAUUUGAUUUAUGGAACGGUUGACUCGGACAUGUUAAUUCUAAUACUUUACAUAGACUAAUUAACUUAGAGCACAUUCCUUUAUUUCACAUUAAUCAUAAUCAUAAAUGUGAAACAUAUGUUGAGGCAAAACUAACAAGGCCUUCUUUUCAAUCUAUUGAAAGAAAUACUGAAUCACUUGAUCUAAUACAUAGUGAUAUUUGUGACUUAAAUUUUUUUCAAACUAGAGGAGUGAAUAAAUAUUUUAUUACAUUCAUUGAUGAUAGCACAAAAUAUUGCUAUGUAUAUUUGCUUAAAAACAAAGAUAAAACUGUAGAGAAAUUUGUUCUCUAUAAGUAGUGUAAUAGCCUAAAUUUGCCCGGCCCACAUACAUUUCAAAAAUAAAUAAAUAAAUAAAUAAGGUCCAAAUGUCCAUUACAUUGACCCAAUUUAAAAAAACCCGAAAUUACAUACCCAAAGUCCAAUUAACAAAAACCCAAUACCUAAAGCCUGACACGGCCCAACCUAGCCCAAAACAUUCCCUAAACACAAACCCUAGCAGCAAUGGCUCACAGCGCAGCAGCAGCAGCACCUCUCAGCCUUCCCUCGCAUGUGCGCCGCCGCCAUGUGCCACGCCUCCACGUCCACUGCUCCGUACGGCCGUACCUGCAACAAACAGAGGCAGACAAAACAACAACAGCAAGAAAAUACAGGGAUAGGAGAUUUUUUCUGUAAUUUUCUAUUUUAUUUUUCUGUCGUUUCUCGGCUAUAAGGCCAUCUUCAAGAAUUUGUAAACGGGGAAUAUCAACACAGACGCGCAUAUUGUAUAGAAAAAAAAUAUUCAAAGAAAUAAAAAAAAAACAGAGGUUUCGAAAAGUGAUCGGAGUUUUUCUUCUGACUAUUCCUUUUUCAAUUUUUUUAAUGUUUAGAUUGCUGUUUUAAAAAAGGGGAAAACCAUUUCAAAAGGAAAGGAAUGAAAAUAUCGCAGUGAGUUUUAGGUUUUUUCUUCUUUCGAUUUCACUAUUUCCCUUUUAUUAUUUUAUUGUUUAUUCGUCAAAAAAUGAUUUAGAAGACAGAAGAUUACCUGAAAUACUAAGUCUCCGCUUGCUCCGUCGUGAUCGGAACCCUGGGGAGGUUCGCGAAGCCUCAAAACAACCCGAAUGUCCGAGCGGCGCAUGCAGGAGGAGAUGGUUUAGGUUUUUUUAGUUUGAUUUGUGAAUGGAGACGGCGGGGUAGCAUUUAGGUUUUUUU